rnacentral:piRNA from 1 species
UGGUAGAAAAGGCUGGAAUAUUCAAAGAAU